rnacentral:rRNA from 1 species
CAGUCGCCACGGUAAUACGUAGGGUGCUAGCGUUGUUCGGAAUUACUGGGCGUAAAGCGCGCGUAGGUGGUUCAUUAAGUUGGAUGUGAAAGCCCUGGGCUCAACCUGGGAACUGCAUCCAAAACUGGUGAGCUAGAGUACGGUAGAGGGUAGUGGAAUUUCCUGUGUAGCGGUGAAAUGCGUAGAUAUAGGAAGGAACACCAGUGGCGAAGGCGACUACCUGGACUGAUACUGACACUGAGGUGCGAAAGCGUGGGGAGCAAACAGGAUUAGAUACCCCCGUAGUCCCUGUCUCUUAUAC